rnacentral:rRNA from 1 species
AUUGAACGCUGGCGGCAGGCCUAACACAUGCAAGUUGAGCUAGCGGCGGACGGGUGAGUAAUGUAUGGGGACUGCCCGAUAGAGGGGGAUAACUUCUCGAAACGGUGGCUAAUACCGCCUACUGUCGGAUACCCCAUAUGGGAUUAGCUAGUGGGUAAGGUAAUGGCUUACCUAGGCGACGAUCCCUAGCUGGUCUGAGAGGAUGAUCAGCCACACGGGGACUGAGAAACGGCCCAGACUCCUACGGAGGCAGCAGUGGGGAAUAUUGCACAAUGGGCGCAAGCCGGAUGCAGCCAUGCCGCGUGUAUGAAGAAGGCCCUAGGGUUGUAAAGUACUUUCAGUCGGGAGGCGUUACCGACAGAAGAAGCACCGGCUAACUCCGUGCCAGCAGCCGCGGUAAUAC